UGUGUAGUGGUGGAAGUGUGUAAACUUGUGCUGUCUAUUUUGAGUACUAUUUUUAACAUUUGUUGCUGCAUUUGAAGUAUCUGUGUAUUGAAUAGUUGUUAUUGCUGAAUUAAUUGCUGGAUAGAGCGAGACGUAUCGAUACUAUUUUGUAACGUCUGCUCUAGUAAACAGAGUUCGCGGUUUGACGUGUCGAGAAUUUCGCGCUUCUUUUCGUGUUGUUUGUCGCAAGCCCCGGGCAAGGGGAUAUGAUCCGCGAGUCAAGAUGUGCUACAAAUUUAGCUGUCAUUGCCAAACCUAUCAAAUUACUCGGCGAACUCAAGGCAAAUCUAUGGAACAAGAAAACCACUUCACGUUUUGACCCACCUGGUAGUAUGUUAAGUGCCUUGUUUUACACCAGCUUGAGAGUUUGGCAGUUCUCGCGAGUGACAGUGGUCGCAAAUUGCAUUUGCGACCCGGACAUGUUUGACGCUGUCAAAUCCUAUGUGCUAGUAUACGGAUGCCCUCAGGCUGGUUUGUCGGUUUUGAUAAAGCUUGCAGCACCAGAUUCAUGGCUAUCGGCAGCAUCGUCAUGUCUAGCAUUGUGUGACGAUACAAGAUCAGCGAAAUCCUCACACUGCUGAAUCAAGAUUUUGGUACACAACGGAACAAUGCAACACGUAUUGUAUGGAACUGAUUGAAAUGAACUUGAAAGAAUUGCUAUUCAAAGUAAUUGUUAAGGUUCUAUAAUAUAGACACUCCUGAAUCACCGAAUUCUACACUACAUCGACGGACGUUACCUGAUUAGGGCUCUGUAGCCACCCAAUCUUCCCCCUCCGGCUUUCAAGCACGAACCCGCUCCACACUCACAGGUCUAUGGACGCGACGAGCUGCUGACAACACGCGACUGAGGUUAUCCCGAUAACGCGCCGUAAAUCACACACGUUGGGCGCCACUGUAACUGGAUUUAUUCGGCAGAUGUAAAUCGUGUUUGAAUUCAGUGUAUUUUCAAUUGAUAUAAUGAUAUUUAAUUCAAUAAACUAAUUGUUCGCGUGUAUACACGCGGAUUUCUUUUGUUCGUUCUAUCUCUCUUUUAGUUGCAGACCCGCCCUGCCCCCAUAGUUCUACCGACAACGCGAGCUGCUUUCGAAUAAGAGAGAUAGAACGAACAAAAGAAAUCCGCGUGUAUACACGCGAACAAUUAGUUUAUUGAAUUAAAUAUCAUUAUAUCAAUUGAAAAUACACUGAAUUCAAACACAAUUUACAUCUGCCGAAUAAAUCCAGUUACAAAGUAUUGUAUUUAUACCCACAUACUGGUACAAAUAGACGUCAAAACCGAAGGAAAUACAAUUGAAAAGUUAUUUGAUGUAAGGUUUAGUAUUAAAAACAACUUGAAAAUAGUAAUCACGGGACACUGAUGUUGUGUGCUAUGAAAUAAGUCAACUGUGAACAUCCUUCUGUCACAGCAUAGUUAGAGUCAAGGCGCGUAGAAGUAUAUUCUAAGGUGGGCCAACUUGCUAAAACCACUCUUCAGCCAUCUUGGAAAUCUACUGUGUUUUGUUUGUAAACAAAACACAAUACGCUUGUGCCGGAGCUCGCUCGUGAUCAGUCUGUCUCUUUCACGCUUCAAGGAAAUAAUUCCCCUUCUGCUUUCUUCCGUACUGUUUUCAUAUACCGCUCCCCUAACCAACUUAGUGACGAAACGGCCUCACCUAGUACCAUAGACCCGUCUUGGUUAGAGUGAGGCAGAAACGAGGAUGCUGUCAGUUUCCCCUCUUUCUGCUCACAUGCUCACAUAAAAUAUAGGCAAAUAGAAUACACACACACACACAUAGUUAAGCUUUAUAACACAGCUAGGGAAAAAGCUGAUAAAAGGAAUGAAAGUUUAUUGAAAUAUUGCAGAAUAGUUUUGGUAGUUGGUGAAUCCCGACCAAUAGAAUAAAUUGAAUUGAGAAUUGUUCGCGCAAUUGUAUUCCUGAAUAAAGGGCCUGAUUCUCGAAUACACUACGAAUACACUUCACGGCGGAAACGGAAUGAAACGUAUUCGCGAUGACAACGGUAUGGUGUCGACAUCUGGAUACGAGAUUAGUUUCCCACUAAACUUAUCAUUAUAAUAUCAAAUUAUCUUUAGAUGAAAUUUUUGUAUGAGAUUAUUAUACCACAUGAAGAAAACAAAGUUUUCCACUCACAUUAAACACCAGUUUGAUACGAAGAAGUUAAUUUUCAUUAAUGAUUUUUUAUUUGAAAAGUGCUCAUUCUGCCUGAAAAUUCAUCAUUAUCUUCGACACUUCACUAACUCGUAAAACGUAGUUCAAUGGCGUGCCGUUUAUUUCGUUUCCACCGUGAAGUGUAUUCGAGAAUCAGGCCCAAAGAUUUUGAAUUUGAAACCAAAGUGAAGUUGAAGUGAUAUCCGACCACUUCCGAGCCAUUCCCAACAGUUGCAAUGGCAACAAAUUGCAGCUCUUCUACCCCUUCC